rnacentral:tRNA from 1 species
GGAGAGAUGCGAGAGCUGGUUGAAUCGGCAUGACUGGAAAUCAUGUGUGCGGGAAACUGUACCGGGGGUUCGAAUCCCCCUCUCUCCGCCA